GUCAGUGUGGUAUAGUGGUUUGAGCACCGGACUAUGACUCUGGAGACCAGGGUUUGACUCCUGUUCAGUCA
rnacentral:tRNA from 1 species